rnacentral:misc_RNA from 2 species
CUGAGUUCAUGCCCUAACGGGUAGAUCUCCCACCCUUGAAUAUAUAAACCUUUGUUGCUUUGGCGGGCCGCUUCGGCUACCGGCUUCGGCUGGUGAGUGCCCGCCAGAGAACCCAAAACUCUGAAUUACAGUGUCGUCUGAGUACUAUAAAAUAGUUA